rnacentral:rRNA from 1 species
AUGCCGAAGGAUACGGGUGAUGCCAAGCUCCUGAUCCAGUCCCUGAACAAGGCCUAUGCCGCCACGCCCGCAAAUCUCAAGAUCAUUGAUCUGUAUGUUGUUUUCGCCAUAGUGACUGCCCUUGUUCAGGUUGCUUACAUGGGAGUAGUUGGGUCAUUUCCCUUCAACUCGUUCCUCUCAGGUGUCCUGUCAUGCAUAGGAACUGCAGUGCUUGCUGUGUGCCUCCGUAUUCAAGUCAACAAGGACAACAAGGAAUUCAAGGAUCUUCCUCCAGAAAGGGCCUUUGCAGAUUUUGUCCUGUGCAAUCUGGUGCUCCACCUGGUGAUCAUGAACUUCCUCGGAUAA